UUGAAAGGGAAACGAUUGAAGUCAGUCGUGCAGUCAUCGAUUCAACGGUUCAAAUGCUAGCUUUUGCUUGUGUUUGUCCGUGCAUUUUGGUGUCUGCUGGUCAGCGUCAAUUUCGAUUGUCAUAAAAAGGUCAGAGGGAUGUGGCUCUUUCGGGAGUGUUAUAACCUUUGGCGGAAUGUGGCGAUCGGGAUUGAGGUUUGCAACGAAUACCUUUAGGGCAGUUCCUUCUGGUCUCUUGUUGACGUUUAGAUGACAACAGCUUGCUUUUGUUGUUUGAAUAGUUUGCGAAUAGAUUGGAAUGUGAAUUAAUUCGUUAAGGAUUGACGUACU
rnacentral:rRNA from 1 species